UACGUAGGGUGCAAGCGUUGUCCGGAAUUAUUGGGCGUAAGGAGCUCGUAGGCGGUUUGUUGCGUCGGCUGUGAAAUCCCGAGGCUCAACCUCGGGUCUGCAGUCGAUACGAGCAAACUAGAGUGUUGCAGGGGAGACUGGAAUUCUUGGUGUAGCGGUGAAAUGCGUAGAUAUCAAGAGGAACACCUGAGGCGAAGGCGGGUUGCUAGGCUGAUACUGACGCUGAGGCGCGAAAGCUAGGGUAGCAAACGGG
rnacentral:rRNA from 1 species